GAUGAACGCUGGCGGCGUGCCUAAUACAUGCAAGUCGUACGGAAAGGCCCUUCGGGGUACUCGAGUGGCGGACGGCUGAGUAACGCGUGGGAACGCGCCCCAAAGUGAGGGAUAACGCACCGAAAGGUGUGCUAAUACCGCAUAUGGUCUUCGGAUUAAAGCUUCGGCGCUUUGGGAGCGGCCCGCGUACGAUUAGAUAGUUAGUGAGGUAAUGGCUCACCAAGUCGACGAUCGUUAGCUGGUCUGAGAGGAUGAUCAGCCAGACUGGGACUGAGACACGGCCCAGACUCCUACGGGAGGCAGCAGUAAGGAAUCUUCCACAAUGGGGGCAACCCUGAUGGAGCAACGCCGCGUGCAGGAUGAAGGUUUUCGGAUCGUAAACUGCUUUUAUAAGUGAAGAAUAUGACGGUAACUUGUGAAUAAGGAUCGGCUAACUACGUGCCAGCCGCCGCUGUAAAAC
rnacentral:rRNA from 1 species